GACAGAGGGUGCGAACGUUGUUCGGAAUUACUGGGCGUAAAGCGCAUGUAGGCGGCAGCGCAAGUCGGGCGUGAAAUCCCACGGCUCAACCGUGGAAGUGCACUCGAAACUGCGCAGCUAGAGUCCUGGAGAGGAAGGUGGAAUUCUCGGUGUAGAGGUGAAAUUCGUAGAUAUCGAGAGGAACACCGGUGGCGAAGGCGGCCUUCUGGACAGUGACUGACGCUGAGACGCGAAAGCGUGGGGAGCAAACAGG
rnacentral:rRNA from 1 species